UUGUUAACAACGGUUCAAACCGGC
rnacentral:siRNA from 1 species